rnacentral:rRNA from 1 species
AACGAACGCUGGCGGCAGGCUUAACACAUGCAAGUCGAACGCCCCGCAAGGGGAGUGGCAGACGGGUGAGUAACGCGUGGGAAUCUACCUAGUUCUACGGAACAACACAGGGAAACUUGUGCUAAUACCGUAUACGCCCUACGGGGGAAAGAUUUAUCGGAAUUAGAUGAGCCCGCGUAAGAUUAGCUAGUUGGUGGGUA